rnacentral:misc_RNA from 1 species
GAAAUGCGAUACUUGGUGUGAAUUGCAGAAUCCCGUGAACCAUCGAGUCUUUGAACGCAAGUUGCGCCCGAAGCCAUUAGGCCGAGGGCACGCCUGCCUGGGCGUCACGCAUCGCGUCGCUCCCCACCAUACCUCCCCAACGGGUUGGCAUGGUGUUGGGGGCGGAUAAUGGCCUCCCGUGCUUGUGUUUCGGUUGGCCUAAAUAAGAGUUCCCUUCGGCGGACACACGACUAGUGGUGGUUGAAUAGACCCUCGUCUUUUGUUGCGUUCUUCAUCGAUGCUACGGUCUUACU